AAGACAGAAAUACCCAAUAUCUUGCUAGAACAAGAUAUUGGGUAUUUCUGUCUU
rnacentral:pre_miRNA from 1 species